CAGCAAAAGUAAAAAAGCUGGAGAAGUAUCAAGAAAAACGAGUGGCUUUCUCAGCUUCUCUGAUGGCCUCAGGUUCUUCCGGAUAUAUUGGACCAUUUAACACACAGAGAACUCUAGUCUUCAGGAAUGUUGUUGCUAAUAUUGGCAAUGCCUACAACCCAAACACAGGUUUUUUCAUUGCACCUGUGCGAGGAGCAUAUCACUUUGAGUUCUACUUACAUGGACAUGGACACUGGUUAUAUUAUACAGCUGCUGUGUUGGUCAAGAAUGGAACUCCUCUAUUUUCUGCAUGGGAACAUCAGAAUUUUAAUUCUGUUAACCCAUCAAAUGGUGUCACAUUGCUAUUAGAGAUUGGAGAUGUGGUAUUAUUGCGUCUAUUCCAAAAUUCAGCAGUUUUUGACAAUCAAAAUCGUCAUACGACCUUUAGUGGUCAUUUACUGUUUCCUAUGUGAUCGUGUGGUGUGGAGGCUGCAGCGCCUCAGACUGGAAGGAAAUGAGAAGAGUGGGGAGAACAGCAGAGAUGAUCAUCGGGGCUCCCAUCCCCUCGAUUAAAGAAAUGUUAUCCCAGCGCUGCAUGUCCCGAGCCCCUAACAUCAUCA